GCNGUCCCAUUAGYNUAGUUGGUGGGGUAAUGGCCUACCAAGGCUACGAUGGGUANCUGGCUUGAGAGAGCGACCAGCCACACUGGAACUGAGACACGGUCCAGNACUCCUACGGGAGGCAGCAGUGGGGAAUUUUCCGCAAUGGGGGCAACCCUGACGCAGCGANCGCCGCGUGUGGGAAUGAAGGCCUUCGGGUCGUAAACCACUGUCGAACGGGACGAUAUUGACGGUACCC
rnacentral:rRNA from 1 species